rnacentral:rRNA from 1 species
CCAACGAGUGGCGGACGGGUGAGUAACACGUAGGUAACCUGCCCAGAAGCGGGGGACAACAUUUGGAAACAGAUGCUAAUACCGCAUAACAACGUUGUUCGCAUGAACAACGCUUAAAAGAUGGCUUCUCGCUAUCACUUCUGGAUGGACCUGCGGUGCAUUAGCUUGUUGGUGGGGUAACGGCCUACCAAGGCGAUGAUGCAUAGCCGAGUUGAGAGACUGAUCGGCCACAAUGGGACUGAGACACGGCCCAUACUCCUACGGGAGGCAGCAGUAGGGAAUCUUCCACAAUGGGCGCAAGCCUGAUGGAGCAACACCGCGUGAGUGAAGAAGGGUUUCGGCUCGUAAAGCUCUGUUGUUAAAGAAGAACACGUAUGAGAGUAACUGUUCAUACGUUGACGGUAUUUAACCAGAAAGUCACGGCUAACUACGUGCCAGCAGCCGCGGUAAUACGUAGGUGGCAAGCGUUAUCCGGAUUUAUUGGGCGUAAAGAGAGUGCAGGCGGUUUUUUAAGUUUGAUGUGAAAGCCUUCGGCUUAACCGGAGAAGUGCAUCGGAAACUGGAUAACUUGAGUGCAGAAGAGGGUAGUGGAACUCCAUGUGUAGCGGUGGAAUGCGUAGAUAUAUGGAAGAACACCAGUGGCGAAGGCGGCUACCUGGUCUGCAACUGACGCUGAGACUCGAAAGCAUGGGUAGCGAACAGGAUUAGAUACCCUGGUAGUCCAUGCCGUAAACGAUGAGUGCUAGGUGUUGGAGGGUUUCCGCCCUUCAGUGCCGGAGCUAACGCAUUAAGCACUCCGCCUGGGGAGUACGACCGCAAGGUUGAAACUCAAAGGAAUUGACGGGGGCCCGCACAAGCGGUGGAGCAUGUGGUUUAAUUCGAAGCUACGCGAAGAACCUUACCAGGUCUUGACAUCUUGCGCCAACCCUAGAGAUAGGGCGUUUCCUUCGGGAACGCAAUGACAGGUGGUGCAUGGUCGUCGUCAGCUCGUGUCGUGAGAUGUUGGGUUAAGUCCCGCAACGAGCGCAACCCUUGUUACUAGUUGCCAGCAUUAAGUUGGGCACUCUAGUGAGACUGCCGGUGACAAACCGGAGGAAGGUGGGGACGACGUCAGAUCAUCAUGCCCCUUAUGACCUGGGCUACACACGUGCUACAAUGGACGGUACAACGAGUCGCGAACUCGCGAGGGCAAGCAAAUCUCUUAAAACCGUUCUCAGUUCGGACUGCAGGCUGCAACUCGCCUGCACGAAGUCGGAAUCGCUAGUAAUCGCGGAUCAGCAUGCCGCGGUGAAUACGUUCCCGG